rnacentral:rRNA from 1 species
CAGCCGCCACGGGAAUACGAAGGGGGCUAGCGUUGCUCGGAUUUACUGGGCGUAAAGGGCGCGUAGGCGGACAGUUUAGUUGGGGGUGAAAGCCCGGGGCUCAACCUCGGAACUGCCUUCAAUACUGGCUGUCUUGAGUACGGGAGAGGUGAGUGGAACUCCGAGUGUAGAGGUGAAAUUCGUAGAUAUUCGGAAGAACACCAGUGGCGAAGGCGACUCACUGGCCCGUUACUGACGCUGAGGCGCGAAAGCGUGGGGAGCAAACAGGAUUAGAUACCCGCGUAGUCCCUGUCUCUUAUAC